ensembl:miRNA
CCGGUGCGCCCUGUGAGCUUCCCUUUGUCAUCCUAUGCCUGAGAGAUGCCUGGAGGCUGGGACGGUGAAGGGAAGCCCACGUGGCUGCCAA